rnacentral:SRP_RNA from 1 species
GCUGGGCGUGGUGGCGUGCGCCUGUAGUCCCAGCUGCUCAGGAGGCUGAGGCAGGAGAAUUGCUUGAACCCGGAACAUGGAGGUUGCGGUGGGCCAAGAUCACACCACUGCACUCCCAACUGGGUGACAGAGCGAGACUCUGUCUCAA